ensembl:snRNA U6 U6 spliceosomal RNA
UGCUUUGUCAGGCUGCACAUAAAUGAAAUUGGAAUGAUACAGAGAAGAUUAGCAUGGCUGCUUUGUAAAGAUGGUAACCAAAUUUGUGAAGUGUUCUCUCGUUUU